rnacentral:rRNA from 1 species
UUGGAGGGCAAGUCUGGUGCCAGCAGCCGCGGUAAUUCCAGCUCCAAUAGCGUAUAUUAAAGUUGCUGCAGUUAAAAAUCUCGUAGUUGAAUUUCGGGACCAAUAUAUCGGUCGUGCUUUUGUACGUACUGGUAUAAUUGGUUUCUCCCUUCUGAAGAACCUUGAUGUCAUUAAUUUGGUGUCUUGGGGAAUCAGGACUGUUACUUUGAAAAAAUUAGAGUGUUUAAAGCAGGC